ensembl:lncRNA
UGCUUUCCAUUUGCAUGUAAUUAUUCAUUAAAUUUACUAGUGAUUUCUGCGUGAAGAGAGUAAAUCCAGCUGUUUUCGGUGUGCUUACAGCUGUGCUCAAAUAUAAUUUUUCAGUGCAUUUUAAAUCUGUGUAUUGUAUCAUUUGUUGUGGUGUCUAGACUCUCGUGCAUUGUUAGUGCAUGAGAUCAGCUGCGUUGGAGCAGUUUGCUCUUCAGUUCUGCAGGAUUGUGGCCCUUCAGGAGCAGGUUUGAGCUUGUCGUCCUUCCUGAAGUGGAUCAAGGGAAUGGCAAGCUUCGAAGUCCUUCUGAUGUUUGGAAUUCUCAUCUCCAUGGCAACACCGGAUUCCUGCUGUAUGAUGUCACCGGAACAGUGGAAUGUGUGGAAAAAUCGCUUUCUAUUCCAGACACACACCUGCUUCCGCAGACAACAGGAA